GACGAACGCUGGCGGCGUGCUUAACACAUGCAAGUCGAACGAUGAACCGGGUGCUUGCACUUGGGGAUUAGUGGCGAACGGGUGAGUAACACGUGAGUAACCUGCCCUGGACUCUGGGAUAACCCCGAGAAAUCGGAGCUAAUACCGGAUAGGACCUUUCCUCGCAUGAGGUUUGGUGGAAAGUUUUUUCGGUUUGGGAUGGACUCGCGGCCUAUCAGCUUGUUGGUGAGGUAAUGGGUCAAUAAGGCGUCGACGGGUAGCCGGCGUGAGAGGGUGGCCGGCCACAAUGGGACUGGGACACGGCCCAGACUCCUACGGGAGGCAGCAGUGGGGAAUAUUGCACAAUGGGCGCAAGCCUGAUGCAGCAACGCCGCGUGCGGGAUGACGGCCUUCGGGUUGUAAACCGCUUUUAGUAGGGAAGAAGCCUUUCGUGGUGACGGUACCUGCAGAAAAAGGACCGGCUAACUACGUGCCAGCAGCCGCAGUAAAAC
rnacentral:rRNA from 1 species